UACGAAGGGUGCAAACGUUGCUCGGAAUCAUUGGGCGUAAAGCGCACGUAGGCGGCCUCGCAAGUUGGAUGUGAAAUCCCAUGGCUCAACCAUGGACGUGCAUCCAAAACUGCUUGGCUUGAGUACUGAAGAGGAUCGCGGAAUUCCCGGUGUAGAGGUGAAAUUCGUAGAUAUCGGGAGGAACACCAGUGGCGAAGGCGGCGAUCUGGGCAGAUACUGACGCUGAGGUGCGAAAGCGUGGGGAGCAAACAGG
rnacentral:rRNA from 1 species